GAUGAACGCUGGCGGCGUGCCUAAUACAUGCAAGUCGAGCGAACAUACUCGAACCUUCCUCCUCUGACGUUAGCGGCGGACGGGUGAGUAACACGUGGAUAACCUACCUAUAAGACUGGGAUAACUUCGGGAAACCGUAGCUUAUACCGUAUAAUAUAUUCACCCGCAUGGUUCAAUAGUGAAAGACUUUUUUGCUGUCACUUCUCGCUGGAUCCGCGCCGCAUUAGAUAGUUGUUAAGCUAACGGCUUACCAAGGCAACGAUGCGUAGCCGACCUGAGAGGGGGAUAGGCCACACUGGAACGGAGACGGGGACCAGACGCCUAAGGGAGGCAGCAGUAGGGAAUGUGACGCAAUGGGCGAAAGUCUGACGGAGCAACGCAGCGUGAGUGAUGAAGGUCUUCGGAUAGGAAAACUGUGUUAUGAGGGAAGAACAAAUGUGUAAAUAACAAAACACGAAGUGACGGUACCUAAACAGAAAGCAACGGCUAACUACGUG
rnacentral:rRNA from 1 species